GACAGUGUGGUAUAAUGGUUUGAGCAUCAGACUGCAACUCUGGAGGUCAGGGUUCAAUUCCCCGAUCAGCCA